GUCUAAGUAUAAGCAAUUUAUACAGUGAAACUGCGAAUGGCUCAUUAAAUCAGUUAUCGUUUAUUUGAUAGUACCUUACUACUUGGAUAACCGUGGUAAUUCUAGAGCUAAUACAUGCUUAAAAUCCCGACUGUUUGGAAGGGAUGUAUUUAUUAGAUAAAAAAUCAAUGUCUUCGGACUCUUUGAUGAUUCAUAAUAACUUUUCGAAUCGCAUGGCCUUGUGCUGGCGAUGGUUCAUUCAAAUUUCUGCCCUAUCAACUUUCGAUGGUAGGAUAGUGGCCUACCAUGGUUUCAACGGGUAACGGGGAAUAAGGGUUCGAUUCCGGAGAGGGAGCCUGAGAAACGGCUACCACAUCCAAGGAAGGCAGCAGGCGCGCAAAUUACCCAAUCCCGACACGGGGAGGUAGUGACAAUAAAUAACGAUACAGGGCCCUUUCGGGUCUUGUAAUUGGAAUGAGUACAAUGUAAAUACCUUAACGAGGAACAAUUGGAGGGCAAGUCUGGUGCCAGCAGCCGCGGUAAUUCCAGCUCCAAAAGCGUAUAUUAAAGUUGUUGCAGUUAAAAAGCUCGUAGUUGAACCUUGGGCUUGGUUGGCCGGUCCAUCUUUCUGAUGCGUACUGGACCCAACCGAGCCUUUCCUUCUGGCUAGCCUUUUGGCGAACCAGGACUUUUACUUUGAAAAAAUUAGAGUGUUCAAAGCAGGCCUUUGCUCGAAUAUAUUAGCA
rnacentral:rRNA from 1 species